GCGUAGUAUGCGCAGCGAUUUAGUAAUAAGAGGACACACACUUUGGACAGCCACAGUCGAUGCCGAUUGGAAUCUUUCAUCUAAAUCUCGCCAUUACUUAUCGGCGAGAUUUUCG
rnacentral:ncRNA from 19 species